CAUGGACCACGCUUGGCAAUGCUCUCCAAGGCUAAAACAGCUUGCCUACGUAUGGACCCUGCUCUCUCGUGAGGUCAUCUUAUGCCAGACUGUAGCCUGCAGACAGUACAGGAAGUGAGCAUGUUUCUAAUAACCACUCCUGGAAGAACAGCCUUUUGUUUUGUUUUGACGGGAUUUCACAGUCCAUUCUGGUCUCAAACUUGUUAUGUAGCCGAGAGUGACCUGGAACUUUUGGCCCUCCUAUCUAACCUGUCAAGGAUCAUAGUAGACCACACUCCCAGUCUACUGAGGGCUCGUGUAUGCUAGACAAGCCUGCUACUAGUUAAGCUAUGUUCCUAAUUAUUUCUGGCAUUUUGUUUUUGUUUUUGUUUUUUGGUUGUUUUUGUUGUUGUUGUUUGGGUGGGGGUGGGGUUGGACAGAGUCUUUCUAUGUAGCCUUGGCUGUCCCGGAACUCACCAUGUAGGCAAGGCUGGCCUCGAACUCAGAGAUCUAGCUGUAGGCCUCUGCUUCCUGAGUGCUGACUCGUGGCUCUUGCUGGAGUUGAAGCCCUUGUUCCUAUUCUCUCAUAUGGUCCAGAACGGCUGAUUAGACUUGCAAGUCUAACAAUUAAGUUGCCUAUGCACGGGCUCUCACGCUACCAGCAGCACACCUGGGUACGUCAGUCUUGCUCUCAUUCGUGAGAGCCAUGAGUUCCAGCAGCCACACAUGGCAGGGAACUUAGCUCUUACACACAGGAGGUGAGGUUGGUGCAGGGAGAGAUAGAGCACUUUGUCUGAAAAGAUUGCAAGGGAGAGAAGAAGAAAGGACCCCAGAGAGAGGUUGGUCUAACCUGUGCUGCCAGUUGCUUACCAUGGGCACUCCUUCAGCUUGCCAACACUGGCUUCAAGGAACCAGUGUGGGAAGGAAUGGGGUGGCCAUUCACCAUGGCUCAUUCUGUAGAUUUGUCCCUCCUCUUUCAGAGGGUCCUCCCAUCCUCCCCAGACUGUACCCACCCCACCCCUGACCGGGGCUUCUCUGCUAGUCCAGCUGCAUAGCUUUCAACCAGGUCACUGAGGCCUAGGAUGCCUAUUCUCCAGCUGGUGUUGCACACCUUUAAUCCCAGCACUCAGGAGGCAGAGGCACAGAGGCAGAGAAAGGCAGAGGUAGAGGCAGGGCAGGUGGGCAUCUAAGAGUUCUGGAGCAGCCUGGUCUCUCUAUCAAGUGCCAGGUUGACCAGGGCUACAUGGCAAGACUCUGUCUCAAAAAACAAAACUAACUGACCUACCACACACACACACAGACACACACACACACACACAUAAUGCACUCACACACACACUAUAUAUACACAUGCACACACACACAGACACACACUAUAUACACACACACUAUAUACACACACAGACACACACACUAUACACACACACUAUGCACCCACACACCCACACACACCCUAUACAUACACACGUAUACACACACACACACACCACACACAGAGACACACACAGAUACAUAUACACAUACACACACACGCACACACACACUAUAUAUACACAUGCACACACACGCACACAUACACACUAUAUAUACACAGACACACACAUACGCAAAGACAGACAUAUACACACACAGACACACACAUGCAUAUACACGCACACACAUGCACACAGACAGACCCCCCCCACACACACAAUCUGUGCAGCUCAUUUGCUUUUGCAAUCCUAUUUUACGACCCUCAUGUCUUGCACCCCAGACUUGGCUCCAGAGGUCCUGGCAUGCUCCCUUUUUGAGCCCUAGACCUCUGUGGCUCGGGUUAGACUUGUGUUCGUGCCCUUCCUUUCUUCCUUGAGAACACGGAGGUUUCAAUGUUCUCCACUCUGAUAAAUCACCAUUCUUGCUAGCUCCCUCUGAUGUGGGGUUUUAUCUUGUAGCCCAGGCUGGCCUGGAUCUUGCUGUGGCUGAUACUGGCCUAGAACUUGCCAUCCUCCUGCCUCAGCCUCUCCCGAGUGCUGAGAUUACAGGCAUACACCACUAUGUUGGUCUUGUCCGCCAUCUGCCUUAAUCUCUUGGGACUUGUAUUUAAAACAUCACUUAUUGCCAUGUUGCUGGAGUUUGGAGAAGCAUCAGAGAUAAGUGCUGUCUGUGUUCAGGCUGUGUAUAAUAAGGGGCUUAUUCAUUUAUUCAAUAAAUUAAUCGUCUUACAACAGCGAGAUCGCUUGUGCCCUUCCAGACCAUUCGACCCACGCUGAGGGUGCAAGGGUGAGCUCUCAGCAGGAGUUAAGUGGAUGAGCCGGAGCCUCUGCGCCCCCUGGAGUCUCAUCUCGGAAGCACAGCCUCCAUCGCGCCCUUUAAGUAGCUGUCCCCGCGGUCUCACCGGGACGGAGUGGGAUGGAGCGUCUUAAUCCCAGCAUUAACAGUUUGCUCAGGAUUCUGUUAUGUUCUGGGGAGUCAGAGUGAGCUCAGCCACGCCCCAACUUCUGCCGUCCUUCUCCUGACCCACCCACACUUCUUGGUCCAUUUGCUUCGGCUAUAAAACUAUCCAGAGAAGCAUGGAGCCUUUCUGAGGUUACGCAUGCUCCUCGGAUUUCCCUGUUUUUGUCCUCGUGGGUGCCUGUCACGCUGCUCCACCAUUCUGCAGUCACACUUGUGUUUGUUCACACUUCAACCCUUUCUGCAAUCGCACGUUUGCACAUUUGUUCCUCAACAAUGUAUUUGAGCUCAAUCUCCUCUCAAAUGUGAACCUGAAACCUGGUCUGCUGGUAUGAGCCUGUGAUCCUAGCCACGCAUGAGGCCGAUGCAGGGGAAUCGCACAUUGGAGGCUACCUCAGGCACCUUAAGUUAGACCUUGUGUCCGAAUAAAGUUAAAAAAUACUGAGGAAGGUGGCUCAGUGGUCGAGAGCUUGCAUAGCUUCAAUCCCCAGUUAAACAAAUCAAGAUGUAACUCUCAGAAAAUAUUAAUCAAGGGGGCUGGAGAAAUGGCUCAGUGGUCGAGAGCCCUGACUGCUUUUCCAGGGAACCUGAUUUAGUUCCCAUCAUCCUAAAAUAAGAACAGUGUGCAAUUUCAGUUCUGCAGGAUCCCAUACCUUCUGGGCAGAUUAUAGAAAACACACACACACACACACACACACACACAGAGUUGUAGGUGAAGUCCCAGUGAGCAGCACCACACCUGCUGAGGGAAAGGAGAGAAGGGAAGUGUUGCCAUGGGAACUCAAGAACUGGGGCUGAACCCAGGAGAGUCCGUUUCUCCACCGUGACCCAGCAGCAGCAAGGAGUGAAGCCUGUGGUACCCAGUCCACCUUUCCUGCCUCUUCCUUCUCAUCUAGUGCAUCUCAGUGGAUGAGCCAGCUCUGAGUCACAGGAGACAGAGCCAGUCCACAGGGGAUCAGUGUCUGCUUGUGGUGAGGAGGAAAAAACAGCCAGCAAACACAGGAUAGGAGGUAUUGGGUGUUGAAGGGUACAGAGAGGAGUGACGACGUCUGCCUUCUGGGUUCCUAAGGUAGCCUGGCCACACCACUAUUUGCUGUUUCAGACAGUAGAGUGCUAUGUCUCUGUCAUUGCUCAACGGCAAAUGUCACCACAGAUCCUGAAGUAUCCCUGGUGAUUUCCACUUCCCAACCUCUUGUCUGUGUACAGUCCUCACCCCUGAGGUGCUGGUGAAGCCUAUAACUUUAUUCCAUAGAAUCCGCAGAAUGUGGCAGAGGUGUUUUGUAUCAGACUCAUUAGCUCAUUGAAGGAGCCUCCCCUUACUGCCUUGAUGGAGUAAGAGGCGUGCCAUGCUCUGGAACAGAAGGUGUGGGCAGAUUAUAGAAAACACACUACACACCACACACACACACACACACACACACACACGACCCAUGACUGUCCUCAGACAAUUUCCAGGAAGAAGCUAAAGGAGCUGGAGCCCCAGGCACACAGCAACAGGGAGGGAACUCGGUCCCCAGCUCUAACGAGUCAGAGCCCGUUCUUCAGUGGAGCACCCGGAUGGAAGGAAGCCACCGACUCCCCCACAGCAGCCCGGGAAGCCCGGGCACGGAAACCGUGGGCAAACGAGUGUGUGCAGGUUUAACCGCUGCACUGUGGUCAUGUUCUGCGGUGUGGCGCGCUGGUUCGGCACCCCCAGUGGUGCUGAGGGGAAGAUGAACUCCGCUGAGAUUGGGGACAAUCCCUGUACUGUAGAACACAGCCGGAGCUGGGGACGCUCUCCUGUGUGUACCUUAAAGCAGAUGUCAAGACGAUCUGACUGGUGUCUUCUCCUUGGGGUUAACUGUCCUUGGGGUUACGUGAACGAUACUCCUUGUGAAUCACCGUAGAGAAGGCAUGAUUUUAUAUAUUUUUAUUACGUUUUUAUUUGUGUGUGCCACCAAUAAACAGAAUGGCCGAGGUACACUCGUUUUCACAUCGUUAUGCCUGUCACGUAUUCUGUUCCUAUGCCAGGAACGGGAAGUGGGGCUAGGCCAUUAAAACCUCAUCACCUGUGCUCGCUUCAGCAGCACAUAUACUAAAAAAAAAUUGGAACGAUACAGAGAAGAUUAGCAUGGCCUCUGCGCAAGGAUGACACGCAAAGUCGUGAAGCGUUCCAUAUUUAAAAAAAAAAAAAAAAAAAAAAACCUCAUCACCCACCCUGGCGACUCUCUUCUUCCAGCAAGGCUCAGCCUCCUCCCCAACCUUCCCAAACAGCUGGAGACACAUGAGCCUUCAGGAGCUAUCACAUGCUAACCAUCACAGCAAUGUAGCAUGGGGGAACGGUCGGAGAAGCUUCUUCAGCAGCCGGUGCGGUUCCUUCUGGGACCAUGGGACACAGAGACGCUUCCUGCUCAGGUCCAGCUUGGCUUCUGCAUGCCCUACAGUUAAAGCACAGGUCUUCAGCAGUAGGGGUCUGCUAUCUUGUUCUGGGGGUGCAGCUCACACCAUGGCACACCUUUACGGUGUGUGGGCUCCCAGAUACCUCUCUCUAAAAACCUCUAGGGAGGUAACCCACCGGGGGCGGGGGGGAUACUGAGAUUCCCAACCAACAACAAUGGGUGGUGACAUUUUUUUUCACCCUAACUCAGUGCCAUUGUUCAAAGUCUUUUAAUUGCUGGUGCCACAGAUGCUGUUCCACAUUUUCAAGAAGCUGAAGAAGGGUUUGCCGUUAUAAACUCUCUUCAGAGAGUGGCCAGGCCCUGUCCUGUGUCUCAUCUGUGCCAGGAGAGUGCCGACUGGGUUUGGGAUCUGGGCAGCUUUGUCACUGAAAACCCUCCCACUGGGUGAUGGCUCUCACAAAGGCUUCAUCCUUCAAGCUCCCUGGGUAACUUUGAAGAGGACCAGGGGUCUCCUCUCCUUCAGCAAUUGCUUGCUAAUUAUGUGACUACCAGGAGGGUCUCUGGAAUCUUGCUUCAUGGGCAUUUCAUCAUCCCCUUUCUUUCUCUCCAGGAGGGAAUGCUUCCAUCCGGGAGAAAUGGAAUAUACUGUUCGGGGUUCCUUCCAGCUCCUGGGGACAUGUCUUAGAAGUCCCUAAAGGCUGAACUUGCACAGUUCUCAUGUGACUGAAGCCCUCAGUGACGGCCAGGGAGAGUGUACCCAGCCCUGGCCAGCUGCAUACAGACGCCCAGUCAAGGGCGGCAGCAUGGCCUCAGUGUGGGAAAGGAACCAGAUCUAUUUAAUAUAUUACAGCAGUUCCAUGUCUUAAGGUGAGAGUAGAGUAUUGUGAAUUCAGUUUGUGCAAAGGGCACGGAGGUCACGGGAUCAGAGCAGCGGCUGGCCAGCCACCCUCUGGAUCCUGUUAAGAAGGGAUUAGCAGACUGCAAGCUGGGCAAGAAAAAUCCCCUCAUCUUUUAAUACCAGUCCUCCGGCAUCCCUAGUUUGGAUGAGUUACGGCCUGCUCCUCUCCCUUUUCAGUCCGACUCACCCGGCUAUCUUUGCUUAGGUGGGUGAGAGGGGAGGUCAAGUUUCUGAAAGCCAAGCCACCCUUGUGCAGGGGACAUUAGGAAAUAGGGCGGUCUGUCCAUCUGUCCGUCUCUCGUGAGCCUGGACCAUGGGCAACGUCGUGGAGGGCAAGUCGGUGGAGGAGCUGAGUAGCACCGAAUGCCAUCAGUGGUACAAGAAAUUCAUGACGGAGUGCCCCUCUGGCCAGCUCACCCUCUACGAAUUCCGCCAAUUCUUUGGCCUCAAGAACCUGAGCCCCUCAGCCAGCCAGUAUGUGGAACAGAUGUUCGAGACCUUUGACUUCAACAAGGAUGGCUAUAUUGACUUCAUGGAGUACGUGGCCGCCCUCAGCCUGGUUCUCAAGGGCAAGGUGGAACAGAAGUUGCGUUGGUAUUUCAAGCUCUACGACGUGGACGGCAACGGGUGCAUAGACCGGGACGAGCUGCUCACCAUCAUCCGGGUAACUCCAGGCCAUCCGAACCAUUAAUCCCUGGAGCGACUCAUCCAUGAGCGCUGAAGAAUUCACAGAUACCGUGUUUGCCAAGAUCGACAUCAACGGGGAUGGGGAACUGUCUCUGGAGGAGUUCAUGGAAGGUGUCCAGAAGGACCAGAUGCUCCUGGACACGCUGACCCGAAGCCUGGACUUGACCCGCAUUGUGCGCAGACUUCAGAACGGCGAGCAGGAGGAGGCAGGCGCUGGCGAC